rnacentral:lncRNA from 1 species
UCUCUCUCUCUCUCUCUCUCUCUCUCUCUCUAAUUUCUUAUUUUCUUUAGUAUCAAGAAAACGUGUAUUACGGGCAUUACCUUCUUCAACUAUCAACCUUACAAAAAGAUAACUGAAAGGAAGUUUUUAACACGGGUUUGGAUCAAGUCAUGGUUUUAAAUUGCAGUGCGUAACACCGAUCCGCAAACUACGGAUUCUGAUUUUAAUGACAAUUGUUAUAUAUGUUUUGCCUUUUUAUUUUGGAUAUCUCAUCAGCGAAAUCGCAACUGCAAUUUAAGAUCAUGGAUCUCUGAGAUAGGAGACAUGCCUGUACUGGGAAUUAUUAAUGGGAUAUUUUUUUUUUCUUUCUGGAUGGAGAUGGUUGAAGGUGAUCAUGAUGUAGAUGCAUAUAUAUGUACAUAUGGUUAUGGAGUUCAAUUAUCUGGUUUCUUCUACAUUUGUUUUUGCCAUUCUUCCAUUACUGUGGUCCAAUCCCAAUGUUUUAGUAGUUGG